AGUGAACGCUGGCGGUAGGCCUAACACAUGCAAGUCGAACGGCAGCACAGUAAGAGCUUGCUCUUACGGGUGGCGAGUGGCGGACGGGUGAGGAAUACAUCGGAAUCUACUUUUUCGUGGGGGAUAACGUAGGGAAACUUACGCUAAUACCGCAUACGACCUACGGGUGAAGGCAGGGGAUCUUCGGACCUUGCGCGAUUGAAUGAGCCGAUGUCGGAUUAGCUAGUUGGCGGGGUAAAGGCCCACCAAGGCGACGAUCCGUAGCUGGUCUGAGAGGAUGAUCAGCCACACUGGAACUGAGACACGGUCCAGACUCCUACGGGAGGCAGCAGUGGGGAAUAUUGGACAAUGGGCGCAAGCCUGAUCCAGCCAUACCGCGUGGGUGAAGAAGGCCUUCGGGUUGUAAAGCCCUUUUGUUGGGAAAGAAAAGCAGCAGGUUAAUACCCCGCUGUUCUGACGGUUCCCAAAGAAUAAGCACCGGCUAACUUCGUG
rnacentral:rRNA from 1 species